CGUGAGGAACCUGCCUUGGAGUGGGGAAUAACAGCCAGAAAUGGCUGCUAAUACCGCAUAAUGCAGUUGGGUCGCAUGGCUCUGACUGCCAAAGAUUUAUCGCUCUAAGAUGGCCUCGCGUCUGAUUAGUUUGUUGGCGGGGUGACGGCCCACCAAGACGACGAUCAGUAGCCGGACUGAGAGGUUGGCCGGCCACAUUGGGACUGAGACACGGCCCAGACUCCUACGGAAGGCAGCAG
rnacentral:rRNA from 1 species